CAGUCGCCACGGGAAUACGUAGGUGGCAAGCGUUGUCCGGAAUUAUUGGGCGUAAAGGGCUCGCAGGCGGUUUCUUAAGUCUGAUGUGAAAGCCCCCGGCUCAACCGGGGAGGGUCAUUGGAAACUGGGAAGCUUGAGUGCAGAAGAGGAGAGUGGAAUUCCACGUGUAGCGGUGAAAUGCGUAGAGAUGUGGAGGAACACCAGUGGCGAAGGCGACUCUCUGGUCUGUAACUGACGCUGAGGAGCGAAAGCGUGGGGAGCGAACAGGAUUAGAUACCCCCGUAGUCCCUGUCUCUUAUAC
rnacentral:rRNA from 1 species